rnacentral:rRNA from 1 species
UCUUCCGCAAUGGACGAAAGUCUGACGGAGCAAUGCCGCGUGAGUGAUGAAGUCUUUCGGGUCGUAAAACUCUGUUGUUAGGGAAGAACAAGUGCUAGUUGAAUAAGCUGGCACCUUGACGGUACCUAACAAGAAAGCUCCGGCGAACUACGUCCCAGCAGCCGCGGUAAUACGUAGGUGGCAAGCGUUAUCCGGAAUUAUUGGGCGUAAAGCGCGCGCAGGUGGUUUCUUAAGUCUGAUGUGAAAGCCCGCGGCUCAACCGUGGAGGGUCAUUGGAAACUGGGAGACUUGAGUGCAGAAGAGGAAAGUGGAAUUCCAUGUGUAGCGGUGAAAUGCGUAGAGAUAUGGAGGAACACCAGUGGCGAAGGCGACUUUCUGGUCUGUAACUGACACUGAGGCGCGAAAGCGUGGGGAGCAAACAGG